GCCCCCAUGGUCUAGUGGCCUAGGACGCCGCCCUCUCACGGCGGUAACAGGGGUUCGAAUCCCCUUGGGGGUGCCA
rnacentral:tRNA from 1 species